CUAGGGCAGUAGCAUGGAGUUGAACUCAGGAGCUUUUCAGGAGGACCCAGAAUCUGACAGUGGACAUCUAGAACAGAGGACACCUUGGUGUGAACACCACCUGUACCAGCAGCUAAUGAUGGUGCCUCAUGCUGUUCACAAGAAGAAAGUGAGGUUUGGUGCCAUGAAUCCACCCACUGAGAAGAAAAAAGGAAAUCAAAUGGGAGGAAAGGAAAGAAAGAUAUGAAAACAGGGACACAAGGAGGUGAAAUGACAUAACUGCUCCACACUCGGAGUUCAGCAAGGAAAGUGACAGUAGGCAUCAGCCCUCCCAGCUCAUGUUACCAUGCUGAAACUUACAAAACUCUACUUCUUCAAAAGCUUGCCCUUUUGAUGAUACUGCAAAUAAUAACACAAUUGUACAGUGAUGAAUGGCAGUCCCGUGCCCUUACUGACAAGUUAGUGAAUGGACAGUACUGAAAAUAAUUUGUAAGAUGAUGAUGUUUAUGGUGAUGAUAACAUAAUAAAUCGAUAGCUGAAUU
rnacentral:lncRNA from 7 species